AAAAAAAAAGGUUCGGAAGAUUUUUUGGGGUGUAAGAAAUUUUGAGAAAAAUAUAUCUAGGACGAUUUUAAGCAAAAGUAUACAGCUAAAAUACUCACUAUAUACAUUGAGGAAGUGAGGGGAGAAUAGAAAACAAUUAAUUUCUAUUCCAAGUCCCAUUCUUCCGUUUUGCCAUCCAUGAGCUCAUUUGGGUUUCCAUUCUAGUUCGCUGGUUCAUCGUUGGCGCUCGAGUCAUUUUUUUGGGAGUCUUUCACCCCUGCUUGUCCGUGUCAGUUCACUGCUCAAAAGGAGGUAAACUCUUUGUAAUCUUUAUGUUGUUUUACUCCUAACCAUUUUGUAUCUUCCGUUUUGAGUAUUUUUUAAUUUUGUGUUCGAUUCCCAUAGCUAAAACAAUUUGAUGAUCAAUGACUGCCUCAAUUAGUUCACAUUGUGUUCCUUUUAGACAUCUUAAAUAGUUGCAAAACGGUAUGUAUUGAAAUUUACUUCCUGGGUUUGAUGAAAAUUCUGUGUGGGUAGUCUUUUUUUCGAGUUUAGCGUAAUGUUUAGUCAUGUUAACAAUUUUCUUUCCUCUUAUGAUUGUUAGAAUGUGGUUAGAAUCUGUCCCCUUUUCCCUUUGUUGUUAUCAAGUGCCAAAAGAAGUGUCUAUCUUUGUUGUUCAUCUUUAAUUCUCAACCGGUCAAUUUAAUAUUGUUUUCUUUGGAGAUAUUUGCAGUAAAACGUUAAAACUUAAUCUCAAUGUCAAAUGGCCUAUCUCUUGUUUCCUCAAAAUGUUUGAAUACAUUGAGUAUUUUGUAUUCUUUUAAGUUUAUUUGUGGAUUAAGGAUAGAAAUUGUUCAUGUGUGUAUUACUUUAUCAUGGUCAAGUUGAAAUUUUGACUACUGUAAGUUUUUACUUUCAUCUGGUUUUCUAGUAUUCUCUUAGCCUUGUAUUGUUUCAUUUUUCGAAUUAGGAAAUACGAUGUUCAUGUUGGGAGGAAUGUAUUGCGACAAUAUCGACUCGUAUGUAUCAUGUUAUUCGCCAUUAUCUUGUUAGUUUAUACACUUACUGCUGGAAAUU
rnacentral:misc_RNA from 1 species